GACGAACGCUGGCGGCGUGCUUAACACAUGCAAGUCGAACGGAAAGGCCCUGCUUUUGUUGGGUGCUCGAUGGGCGAACGGGGGGGUAAUACGUGAGUAGCCUGCCCUUGACUUUGGGAUAACUUCAGGAAACUGGGGCUAAUACCGGAUAGUAGCUCCUGCUGCCUGGUGGGUGUUGUAUAGUUUCGGCGGUUGGGGAUGGACUCGCGGUUUAUCCGCUUGUUGGUGGGGUAGUGGCUUACCAAGGCUUUGACGGGUAGCCGGCCUGAGAGGGUGACCGGCCACAUUGGGACUGAGAUACGGCCAAGACUGCUACGGGAGGAAGCAGUGGGGAAUAUUGCAAAAUGGGCGGAAGCCUGAUGCAGCAACGCCGCGUGCGGGAUGACGGCCUUCGGGUUGUAAACCGCUUUCGCCUGUGACGAAGCGUGAGUGACGGUAAUGGGUAAAGAAGCACCGGCUAACUACGUG
rnacentral:rRNA from 1 species